AGGGCUAUAGCUCAGUUAGGUAGAGCACCGCGUUUACACCAACAAAGUCUAUGGUUCGAAUCCGUAUAGCCCUA
rnacentral:tRNA from 1 species